rnacentral:rRNA from 1 species
AUUGAACGCUGGCGGCAGGCCUAACACAUGCAAGUCGAACGGUAACAGGAAACAGCUUGCUGUUUCGCUGACGAGUGGCGGACGGGUGAGUAAUGUCUGGGAAACUGCCUGAUGGAGGGGGAUAACUACUGGAAACAGUAGCUAAUACCGCAUAACGUCGCAAGACCAAAGAGGGGGACCUUCGGGCCUCUUGCCAUCGGAUGUGCCCAGAUGGGAUUAGCUAGUAGGUGGGGUAACGGCUCACUUAGGCGACGAUCCCUAGCUGGUCUGAGAGGAUGACCAGCCAAACUGGAACUGAGAAACGGUCCAGACUACUACGGGAGGCAGCAGUGGGGAAUAUUGCACAAUGGGCGCAAGCCUGAUGCAGCCAUGCCGCGUGUAUGAAGAAGGCCUUCGGGUUGUAAAGUACUUUCAGCGGGGAGGAAGGGAGUAAAGUCAAUACCUUUGCUCAUUGACGUUACCCGCAGAAGAAGCACCGGCUAACUCCGUGCCAGCAGCCGCGGUAA